UACGUAGGGUGCAAGCGUUGUCCGGAAUUAUUGGGCGUAAAGGGCUCGUAGGCGGUCCAUCGCGUCGGGAGUGAAAAGCUGGGGCUUAACCCCAGUCCUGCUUCCGAUACGGGUGGACUAGAGGUAGGUAGGGGAGAUCGGAAUUCCUGGUGUAGCGGUGAAAUGCGCAGAUAUCAGGAGGAACACCAAUGGCGAAGGCAGCACUCUGGGACGUGACUGACGCUGAGACGCGAAAGCGUGGGGAGCAAACAGG
rnacentral:rRNA from 1 species